AUACGUAGGGGGCGAGCGUUGUCCGGAAUGAUUGGGCGUAAAGGGCGCGUAGGCGGCUUUGCAAGUCAGUAGUGGAAGUCCAUUUUUCAAGGAUGGAAGUGCUACAGAAACUGCGGAGCUUGAGUGCAGGAGAGGUUAUCGGAAUUCCCGGUGUAGCGGUGAAAUGCGUAGAGAUCGGGAGGAACACCAGUGGCGAAGGCGGGUAACUGGACUGCAACUGACGCUGAGGCGCGAAAGUGUGGGGAGCAAACAGGAUUAGAUACCCUGGUAGUCCACACUGUAAACGAUGAAUGCUAGGUGUAGGAGGUAUCGACCCCUUCUGUGCCGCAGUAAACACAGUAAGCAUUCCGCCUGGGGAGUACGGUCGCAAGAUUAAA
rnacentral:rRNA from 1 species